GGGUUGUGAGGUUAAGCGACUAAGCGUACACGGUGGAUGCCCUGGCAGUCAGAGGCGAUGAAGGACGUGCUAAUCUGCGAAAAGCGUCGGUAAGGUGAUAUGAACCGUUACAGCCGGCGAUGUCCGAAUGGGGAAACCCAGUGCAAUUCGUUGCACUAUCGUUAACUGAAUACAUAGGUUAACGAGGCGAACCGGGGGAACUGAAACAUCUAAGUACCCCGAGGAAAAGAAAUCAACCGAGAUUCCCCCAGUAGCGGCGAGCGAACGGGGAGCAGCCCAGAGUCUGAAUCAGCUUGUGUGUUAGUGGAACGGUCUGGAAAGUCCGACGGUACAGGGUGAUAGUCCCGUACACCAAAAUGCACAGGCUGUGAACUCGAAGAGUAGGGCGGGACACGUGGUAUCCUGUCUGAAUAUGGGGGGACCAUCCUCCAAGGCUAAAUACUCCUGACUGACCGAUAGUGAACCAGUACCGUGAGGGAAAGGCGAAAAGAACCCCGGCGAGGGGAGUGAAAAAGAACCUGAAACCGUGUACGUACAAGCAGUGGGAGCACCUUCGGGUGUGACUGCGUACCUUUUGUAUAAUGGGUCAGCGACUUAUAUUCUGUAGCAAGGUUAACCGUAUAGGGGAGCCGCAGGGAAACCGAGUCUUAACUGGGCGUUAAGUUGCAGGGUAUAGACCCGAAACCCGGUGAUCUAGCCAUGGGCAGGUUGAAGGUUGGGUAACACUAACUGGAGGACCGAACCGACUAAUGUUGAAAAAUUAGCGGAUGACUUGUGGCUGGGGGUGAAAGGCCAAUCAAACCGGGAGAUAGCUGGUUCUCCCCGAAAGCUAUUUAGGUAGCGCCUCGUGAACUCAUCUUCGGGGGUAGAGCACUGUUUCGGCUAGGGGGUCAUCCCGACUUACCAACCCGAUGCAAACUACGAAUACCGAAGAAUGUUAUCACGGGAGACACACGGCGGGUGCUAACGUCCGUCGUGAAGAGGGAAACAACCCAGACCGCCAGCUAAGGUCCCAAAGUCAUGGUUAAGUGGGAAACGAUGUGGGAAGGCACAGACAGCCAGGAUGUUGGCUUAGAAGCAGCCAUCAUUUAAAGAAAGCGUAAUAGCUCACUGGUCGAGUCGGCCUGCGCGGAAGAUGUAACGGGGCUAAACCAUGCACCGAAGCUGCGGCAGCGACACUAUGUGUUGUUGGGUAGGGGAGCGUUCUGUAAGCCUGCGAAGGUGUGCUGUGAGGCAUGCUGGAGGUAUCAGAAGUGCGAAUGCUGACAUAAGUAACGAUAAAGCGGGUGAAAAGCCCGCUCGCCGGAAGACCAAGGGUUCCUGUCCAACGUUAAUCGGGGCAGGGUGAGUCGACCCCUAAGGCGAGGCCGAAAGGCGUAGUCGAUGGGAAACAGGUUAAUAUUCCUGUACUUGGUGUUACUGCGAAGGGGGGACGGAGAAGGCUAUGUUAGCCGGGCGACGGUUGUCCCGGUUUAAGCAUGUAGGCUGGUUGUCCAGGCAAAUCCGGAUAAUCAAGGCUGAGGUGUGAUGACGAGGCACUACGGUGCUGAAGUAACAAAUGCCCUGCUUCCAGGAAAAGCCUCUAAGCAUCAGGUAACAUUAAAUCGUACCCCAAACCGACACAGGUGGUCAGGUAGAGAAUACCAAGGCGCUUGAGAGAACUCGGGUGAAGGAACUAGGCAAAAUGGUGCCGUAACUUCGGGAGAAGGCACGCUGGUGUGUAGGUGAAGCCCCUGCGGGUGGAGCUGAGACCAGUCGAAGAUACCAGCUGGCUGCAACUGUUUAUUAAAAACACAGCACUGUGCAAACACGAAAGUGGACGUAUACGGUGUGACGCCUGCCCGGUGCCGGAAGGUUAAUUGAUGGGGUUAUCCGUAAGGAGAAGCUCUUGAUCGAAGCCCCGGUAAACGGCGGCCGUAACUAUAACGGUCCUAAGGUAGCGAAAUUCCUUGUCGGGUAAGUUCCGACCUGCACGAAUGGCGUAAUGAUGGCCAGGCUGUCUCCACCCGAGACUCAGUGAAAUUGAACUCGCUGUGAAGAUGCAGUGUACCCGCGGCAAGACGGAAAGACCCCGUGAACCUUUACUAUAGCUUGACACUGAACAUUGAGCCUUGAUGUGUAGGAUAGGUGGGAGGCUUUGAAGCGUGGACGCCAGUCUGCGUGGAGCCAACCUUGAAAUACCACCCUUUAAUGUUUGAUGUUCUAACGUUGGCCCCUGACCGGGGUUGCGGACAGUGUCUGGUGGGUAGUUUGACUGGGGCGGUCUCCUCCCAAAGCGUAACGGAGGAGCACGAAGGUUAGCUAAUCCUGGUCGGACAUCAGGAGGUUAGUGCAAUGGCAUAAGCUAGCUUGACUGCGAGCGUGACGGCGCGAGCAGGUGCGAAAGCAGGUCAUAGUGAUCCGGUGGUUCUGAAUGGAAGGGCCAUCGCUCAACGGAUAAAAGGUACUCCGGGGAUAACAGGCUGAUACCGCCCAAGAGUUCAUAUCGACGGCGGUGUUUGGCACCUCGAUGUCGGCUCAUCACAUCCUGGGGCUGAAGUAGGUCCCAAGGGUAUGGCUGUUCGCCAUUUAAAGUGGUACGCGAGCUGGGUUUAGAACGUCGUGAGACAGUUCGGUCCCUAUCUGCCGUGGGCGCUGGAGAAUUGAGGGGGGCUGCUCCUAGUACGAGAGGACCGGAGUGGACGCAUCACUGGUGUUCGGGUUGUCAUGCCAAUGGCACUGCCCGGUAGCUAAAUGCGGAAGAGAUAAGUGCUGAAAGCAUCUAAGCACGAAACUUGCCCCGAGAUGAGUUCUCCCUGAGACUUUAAGUCUCCUGAAGGAACGUUAAAGACGAUGACGUUGAUAGGCCGGGUGUGUAAGCGCAGCGAUGCGUUGAGCUAACCGGUACUAAUGAACCGUGAGGCUUAACCUUACAACGCCGAAG
rnacentral:rRNA from 1 species